GAAAACAGAAGAGAAACAAAAAUCAAACGUCACACACAAAUCAUUUUGGUGCAGUUCGGUUCGAAACGGUAACGGCCAAGAUGGCGGAGAAAUAGUCAAAAGCGAGUUGAUCGCGACUCAAGAUAUGUCUGUCCGGAUGCUAAACGUCACUGUGCUCCCGUCUGUCGUACGAUGAUUUAUUUCGCGUGAUUGAGCUCACUUGAAAAUCAAAAAGAACAGAAGAAGCAGCAGAAGAAAAAAAUGGAGAAGAGGAGAGAAGAGGAAAAAGAAGAAAGAGAAGCAGAAAGAGAAGAAGAAGAAGAAGAAGAGGAAAAAGAAUAACAAGAAAAAGAAAGCGUGAAACAACACCGAUCGGUACCAAAAUACGAGUCUCGAAUACUGAUCCGUUUAAUUCGUAAGGAAAACAAUUGUACAUAUGUAUCUAAGAUAGCUGUAUAUAAUAUAUACACACAUCACACACGCGCGACACGAGUAUACUUCUAGACGUAACGCGGGAAGGUUGUUAAACGUGCUGUAUCGAAUUUCAAAACACUCGAAUCACCUCGGUUGUCAUAGAUCUUUAUUGUUACUUGCACGGUUGAAGUGUGUCUAUUCGUUUGUAUCGUUCAAUUGAAGACUAGAUUCACGUCACAGCCCUCCGAUCGAAUAGAAAAAAAAAGGUUAUGUUUACGAAGGGGCCUCUCUCGCAAACGAUAUUUAAUUUCGCUUGAAAAUAAACCGUGAACUUGUUGAACGCGUCUGGUUGGUACCUGGGUCCGUUUCGAGCUUGAUUUUGAAAAUCUAUAUCCGAGUUCUCUAUUUACCGUAACCGUAAUUAUAUAGGCUCUAUAUUGUAUCUGAUAGGAAGACUGGUGUAUCUCGAAGAAGUACGUAUUAAAACAUAUUUACAGAAAGAAGAUGGAUAAAGACGUAAACGGAGCCAGGUAUCGCGAGCCACGCGGUUCUUAGAAACGUCUGUCAUCCGAGGGUUAACUUCCGGCUUGAAAUUGUCACGUGUAUCAUUAACCGCGCGUUGAAACGAUUGAUUGUUUAAAAGAAAUAUGAGAAAUCUUGUUAUACGUUACCGUUACUUUGAUGUUUGAAAGGUGAACAGCACGCGAGACGACCUUCCAUGUAAACAGCAUCGGUGGCCAAUUAGAAAAGCGCCAAUCACAGUUCGAGAUCUAGAUUUAAAAAGAAAUGGCUGAACGCUGGAUUAAUUGGCGAUCGAUACGACGGUCAUCGAAAUCCAAAAUCCGCACGGGAGUCACGGAACCGUGAAUUUCAAUGAGAAAAAAAAUGGAAUUUCCGUUUUUACCUGUUGGACAAGUUUUUUCGGAGAUAUAUAUGAUAUAGAUUUACCCGGGGGAUGGAUUCGAAUGACGCUCGAAUAAUUGCCGAGUUUCUUAAACCAUGAACGUACGUAAUACCUCAGAGCCAUUACGAUAACGAUACGUAAAGUAACGAAAGAUUUUGUGAUUCGCGGUGUAUCGUAGAUUAUUGCCGAGACAGUGGUAAUUUCAUACGACAAAUAAUGAAGUAUAUACAUACGAACGCGAGUAUUUCUGUACGUCGACACGGAGGAAAUUGUUUCGAACCACGGCAGCCAGGAACUUUCGUUUUCCCUUUGUACACCAUCCGAAACGGUUACACCGGAACAUUCGAUAGAUAUCGAUGUAUCUAAUUUUCGCGCGGUUCGCGAUUUCAUUCGAUAAUUGGCGCCGCCUGUCGAUCUUCGAUUUCUAAACUUGUUCGUAGAAUUAAAAAAAAAGAGAAAAAAAAAGAGGAAGAAGAAGAAGAAGAAAAAGAAGAAAGAAACAAGAAGACUUUUGUAUUAUGAUUCCGUUUAUGUUUUUAAGACAGCCUCGAGUAUGUCGUAAGGAAAACCGUACCGACCUGUACGUGAAAGUAUACGUAUCCAACAAGGGAACUUUAAUCUUUCGAUAUAUCGCGCGAAUACGAGGGAAUUUUCUUCGAGGGCACAAUCGUUUCUCGCCGUCUUCGAACUUUAACGUAUUUUACGAUCUCCGUUGGACGGACGUGAAGGGAAUGGUGUGAAAAAUCAAAAUUCUACGGGUCGAAAUUAAUAUUUUUCAUGGCUGUAAAACAGAAAGAUGAAUAACAAUUUCAUUGGACGAAGAAGCUGAAAUUCUGCUGCAACAAAAUAUUAAGGCACCUUCAUGUCUCAUUUGACGGUAUCACGUUCAAUUCAGAAGCAGUACUAAUACUUGGUAGGGUGCUAUCGCUCCAAUCAGGAUGUGGAUAAUUCCUUGGUGGGCUUGGUACAUUCACCGGCAUCCUACUUUGAACUCUGAUAUCAUGGAAUAUAUUAUGGAAUUGUUCCGAUAUACUAGAACCCAACAAAUUAUGAGGUGAAUUACUUUUUAUUACGUUAGACCCAUGAAUUACGCCAGACUUUUUUUCUAAAUUUUGCUUUUUAUGCAACGUUAAAGACUUUUGAGUAUCCAAAGGAUCUUC